rnacentral:rRNA from 1 species
AAACUGGCAUGCCUCAGUAGCGGCGAGUGAAGCGGCAAGAGCUCAGAUUUGAAAUCGUGCUUUGCGGCACGAGUUGUAGAUUGCAGGUUGGAGUCUGUGUGGAAGGCGGUGUCCAAGUCCCUUGGAACAGGGCGCCCAGGAGGGUGAGAGCCCCGUGGGAUGCCGGCGGAAGCAGUGAGGCCCUUCUGACGAGUCGAGUUGUUUGGGAAUA